rnacentral:rRNA from 1 species
UACGUAGGGUGCAAGCGUUGUCCGGAAUUAUUGGGCGUAAAGAGCUCGUAGGCGGUCUGUCGCGUCUGCUGUGAAAACUCGGGGCUUAACCCCGGGCCUGCAGUGGGUACGGUCAGACUAGAGUGCGGUAGGGGAGACUGGAAUUCCUGGUGUAGCGGUGAAAUGCGCAGAUAUCAGGAGGAACACCGGUGGCGAAGGCGGGUCUCUGGGCCGUAACUGACGCUGAGGAGCGAAAGCAUGGGGAGCGAACAGG